rnacentral:rRNA from 1 species
UACCGACGGUCCAAACGUUAUUCGGAAUCACUGGGCUUAAAGAGUUCGUAGGCGGUCAGGAAAGUGGGGUGUGAAAGCCCUCGGCUUAACCGAGGAAUUGCGCUCCAAACUCCCUGACUUGAGGAGGCUAGAGGUAAGCGGAACUGAUGGUGGAGCGGUGAAAUGCGUUGAUAUCAUCAGGAACACCGGAGGCGAAGGCGGCUUACUGGGGCCUUUCUGACGCUGAGGAACGAAAGCUAGGGGAGCGAACGGG